rnacentral:rRNA from 1 species
AGAGUUUGAUCAUGGCUCAGAACGAACGCUGGCGGCGUGCUUAACACAUGCAAGUCGAGUGCGCGUUCCGUAGCAAUACGGAAUGGCGCACGGCGCACGGGUGCGUAACACGUGGGUAAUCUGCCCUCUGAUGGGGAAUAACUCGCCGAAAGGCGAGCUAAUUCCGCAUAAUAUUCCGGGAACCUUGGUUCUUGGACUGAAAGGCGUAAGUCGUCGGAGGAGGAGCCCGCGCCCGAUUAGCUAGUUGGUAGGGUAACGGCCUACCAAGGCUUUGAUCGGUAGCUGGUCUGAGAGGAUGGCCAGCCACACUGGAACUGAGACACGGUCCAGACUCCUACGGGAGGCAGCAGUGGGGAAUCUUGCACAAUGGGCGAAAGCCUGAUGCAGCGACGCCGCGUGGGGGAUGAAGCUUCUCGGAGUGUAAACCCCUUUCGAUCCGGACGAAUACCUCGCAAGAGGGGUGACGGUACGGAUAUAAGAAGCCCCGGCUAACUACGUGCCAGCAGCCGCGGUAAGACGUAGGGGGCCAGCGUUGUUCGGAAUUACUGGGUGUAAAGGGUUCGUAGGCGGUGCGGCAAGUCGGGAGUGAAAUCUCUGGGCUCAACCCAGAGGCUGCUUCCGAAACUGCUGUGCUUGAGUGUGGGAGAGGCGCGUGGAAUUGCAGGUGUAGCGGUGAAAUGCGUAGAUAUCUGCAGGAACACCCGUGGCGAAAGCGGCGCGCUGGACCACUACUGACGCUGAAGAACGAAAGCUAGGGGAGCAAACAGGAUUAGAUACCCUAGUAGUCC